GCGUAUAGAAUCUGCCUUGUACAGGAGGAUAGCCUUUAGAAAUGAAGAUUAAUACUCCAUAAUGUUAAUGAUUGGCAUCAGUUAUUAAUUAAACAUUUAUGGGUACAAGAUGACUAUGCGUCCUAUUAGCUAGAUGGUAAGGUAACGGCUUACCAUGGCAACGAUAGGUAGGGGGUCUGAGAGGAUUAUCCCCCACACUGGUACUGAGACACGGACCAGACUCCUACGGGAGGCAGCAGUGAGGAAUAUUGGUCAAUGGAGGCAACUCUGAACCAGCUAUGCCGCGUGCAGGACGACUGC
rnacentral:rRNA from 1 species